GACGAACGCUGGCGGCGUGCUUAACACAUGCAAGUCGAACGGAAAGGCCCUGCUUUUGUGGGGUGCUCGAGUGGCGAACGGGUGAGUAACACGUGAGUAACCUGCCCUUGACUUUGGGAUAACUUCAGGAAACUGGGGCUAAUACCGGAUAGGAGCUCCUGCUGCAUGGUGGGGGUUGGAAAGUUUCGGCGGUUGGGGAUGGACUCGCGGCUUAUCAGCUUGUUGGUGGGGUAGUGGCUUACCCAGGCUUUGACGGGUAGCCGGCCUGGGAGGGUGACCGGCCACAUUGGGACUGAGAUACGGCCCAGACUCCUACGGGAGGCAGCAGUGGGGAAUAUUGCACAAUGGGCGGAAGCCUGAUGCAGCAACGCCGCGUGCGGGAUGACGGCCUUCGGGUUGUAAACCGCUUUCGCCUGUGACGAAGCGUGAGUGACGGUAAUGGGUAAAGAAGCACCGGCUAACUACGU
rnacentral:rRNA from 1 species